CAGUCGCCGCGGUAAUACGGAGGGUGCAAGCGUUAAUCGGAAUUACUGGGCGUAAAGCGCACGCAGGCGGUUUGUUAAGUCAGAUGUGAAAUCCCCGAGCUUAACUUGGGAACUGCAUUUGAAACUGGCAAGCUAGAGUCUUGUAGAGGGGGGUAGAAUUCCAGGUGUAGCGGUGAAAUGCGUAGAGAUCUGGAGGAAUACCGGUGGCGAAGGCGGCCCCCUGGACAAAGACUGACGCUCAGGUGCGAAAGCGUGGGGAGCAAACAGGAUUAGAGACCCCUGUAGUCCCUGUCUCUUAUAC
rnacentral:rRNA from 1 species